AGAACGAACGCUGGCGGCAUGCCUAACACAUGCAAGUCGAACGAGACCUUCGGGUCUAGUGGCGCACGGGUGCGUAACGCGUGGGAAUCUGCCCUUAGGUACGGAAUAACAGUGAGAAAUUACUGCUAAUACCGUAUGAUGUCUUCGGACCAAAGAUUUAUCGCCUAGGGAUGAGCCCGCGUUGGAUUAGCUAGUUGGUGGGAUAAAGGCCUACCAAGGCGACGAUCCAUAGCUGGUCUGAGAGGAUGAUCAGCCACACUGGGACUGAGACACGGCCCAGACUCCUACGGGAGGCAGCAGUGGGGAAUAUUGCGCAAUGGGCGAAAGCCUGACGCAGCGACGCCGCGUGAGGGAUGAAGGCCUUCGGGUCGUAAACCUCUUUCAGCAGGGAGAAGCGAAAGUGACGGUACCUGCAGAGAAGCACCGGCUAACUACGUGCCAGCAGCCGC
rnacentral:rRNA from 1 species